rnacentral:rRNA from 1 species
CAAUAGCAUAUAUUAACGUUGUUGCAGUUGAAAAGCUCGUAGUUGAACUUUUGGUAGGAGCGACCUAGCCUUGGGCGCAUGCCCUUGUUUGCCGUGUGUCGUGUCUGGCCAUCCCUUUCCGCUUCGGCGGGAAUCUUUUACUGUGAGUAAACUGGAGUGCUCAAAACAAGACGUUUGUUUGGUACAUUAAAGCAUGGAAUAAUAAGAUAGGACCUGGUUACUAUUUUGUUGGUUUGCAUAGCUAGGUAAUGAUUAACAGGGACAGUUGGGGGUAUUCGUAUUUAAUUGUCAGAGGUGAAAUUCUUGGAUUUAUGAAAGACGAACGACUGCGAAAGCAUUUACCAAGGAUGUUUUCAUUAA